GAUGAACGCUGGCGGCAUGCUUUACACAUGCAAGUCGGACGGGAAGUGGUGUUUCCAGUGGCGGACGGGAGAGUAACGCGUAAGAACCUGCCCUUGGGAGGGGAACAACAGCUGGAAACGGCUGCUAAUACCCCGUAGGCUGAGGAGCGAAAGGAGGGAUCCGCCCAAGGAGGGGCUCGCGUCUGAUUAGCUAGUUGGUGAGGUAAUAGCUUACCAAGGCCGUGAUCAGUAGCUGGUCCGAGAGGAUGAUCAGCCACACUGGGACUGAGACAAGGCCCAGACUCCUACGGGAGGCAGCAGUGGGGAAUGCACAGCAAUGGGCGAAAGCAUGACGGAGCAAUGCGGCGUGGAGGUAAAAGGCCUACGUGUCAUGAACUUCUUUUCCUGGAGAAGAAACAAUGACGGUAUCUGGGGAAUAAGCAUCGGCUAACUCUGUG
rnacentral:rRNA from 1 species